AGAGUUUGAUCCUGGCUCAGGAUGAACGCUGGCGGCAGGCCUAAUACAUGCAAGUCGUACGGUAAGACACCCUUCGGGGUGUUGAGAGUGGCGGACGGGUGCGUAACGCGUAUGCAACCAACCCCCGACGGGCGGACAGCCGGUGGAAACGCCGGAUAAUACGCCAUGCGGCUGUCCAGGGGCAUCCCUGGGCGGUCAAAGCCUUGGCGGUCGGGGACGGGCAUGCGUGCCAUUAGAUGGUCGGCGGGGUGACGGCCCACCGAGUCGACGAUGGCUAGGGGAUCUGAGAGGACGGUCCCCCCACACUGGUACUGAGACACGGACCAGACUCCUGCGGGAGGCAGCAGUAAGGGAUAUUGGUCAAUGGGCGCGAGCCUGAACCAGCCAAGUAGCGUGCAGGAUGGGGACGGCCCUAUGGGUUGUAAACUGCUUUUAUACAGGGAUAAAGUGGCCCACGUGUGGGUUAUUGCAGGUACUGUAUGAAUAAGGACCGGCUAAUUCCGUGCC
rnacentral:rRNA from 1 species